rnacentral:rRNA from 1 species
UUAAGAGCAUACGGUGAAUGGCUUGACAGUAUGUGCCGAUGAAGGACGUCGUAACCUGCGAUAAGCCUCGGGGAGGUGGUAAACAACCUUUGAUCCGGGGAUUUCCGAAUGGGGCAACCUAGCAUGGAGCAUGCCAUGUUGGCGGCACGUGAACACAUAGCGUGUCGUUGGGAACCCAGGGAAGUGAAACAUCUCAGUACCUGGUGGAAAAGAAAAUAACCAUUCACUUCGCAUCUUAUUGCCCCUCGGGGUGAUGAGAUGCGAAACAGUGAAUACCAUUCCCUAAGUAGCGGCGAGCGAACGGGGAACAGCCUAAACUCACAUCAUGAAGGUGCGGCAUCCGUUGGUCUUCGGAUCUUCGUUUGCUGUACUGAAAGGCAGGGGCCGUUGUGGUGUGAGCGUUGGAGGAUACAUUCUUGGCGCGCCCCUUUAGCGCCAAUCGACUCGUGUCAAUAUAGUUGAAUCUUCUGGAAAGAAGAACCAAAGAAGGUGAUAGUCCUGUACGCGAAAUAUUGCCACAGCGAUGAGUGUAUUCCUAAGUACUACGAGGCACGUGAAACCUUGUAGGAAUCUGCCGCGACUACGCGGCAAGGCUAAAUACACAUACUGAUCGAUAGUGAACAAGUACCGUGAGGGAAAGCUGAAAAGUACCCCGGGAGGGGACUGAAAUAGUAUCUGAAACCGUAUGCUUACAGGGAGUGGAAGCGGAUGCCUUUGGGUAUUCCGUGACCGCGUUCCUAUUGAAGAAUGAACCUACGAGUGUGCUGGGUAUGGUUGGUUAAGCUCGACAGAGUGAAGCCACAGUGAAAGCGAGGGUGAAUAGCCCGAAAUAAAAAUCGUAUCCACACGACCCGAAACCGGGUGAUCUAACCAUGAGCAGGGUGAAGCGAGCGUAACAACUCGUGGAGGCCCGAACCAAUACGCCGUGCAACACGUUUGGAUGACUUGUGGUUAGCGGAGAAAUUCCAAUCGAACUCGGUAAUAGCUGGUUCUCUCCGAAACAGUUUUAGGACUGGCGGUUGUAAUGGGACUGUUCCCAAACAGCCUGUUUGCCUCAUUAUGUCCAAGAUCGGUCUGCUCCUUGCUCAAAAAGCCUCGACGUAGCUCUGCUACGCCUGUGUCUUUUGAGCGGCGGAUCAGUUCCAAUCUUGAACAAAUGAGCUCAAACAGCUAUUCGGGAACAGUCCCUAUAGUCUGUGGGGGGUAGAGCACUGAAUGGGUUUGAGGCCCGAAAGGGUACUCGGCCUAACCAAACUCCGAAUACUCACAGAUGUUCCAACUAGUUAGACUAUGGGGGCGAAGCUCCAUCAGUCAAAAGGGGAACAGCCCAGAUCUCAAACUAAGGUCCCUAAAUCACGACUAAGUGUGAAAGGUGGUGAUGUGACGUAUACAACCAGGAGGUUGGCUUAGAAGCAGCCAUCCUUUAAAGAAAGCGUAACAGCUCACUGGUCAAGUUGCGUUGCGCCGAUAAUGUACCGGGGCUCAAGUCGUGUACCGAAAUUGAGGGUUUACGUUUAACGACGUAAGCGGUAGGAGAGCAUUCCAUGUGCACUGAAGCGAAAGGGGUGACCCAUCGUGGAGCGCAUGGAAGAGAGAAUGUAGGUAUGAGUAGCAAAAAGACAGGUGAGAACCCUGUCCACCGAAAAACCAAGGUUUCCUGGGCAACGCAAAUCGACCCAGGGUUAGUCGGGAGCUAAGGCGAGGCCGAAAGGCGUAGUCGAUGCACAGCAGGUUAAUAUUCCUGCACUACUAUUGGUUUCCGAUGGGGGGACGGUUCUUCGAGCAUCCCGCGUCCUAUGGCUAUGACGUUGGGGCGUCGUUCUCGUGGAGUAGGCAAAUCCGCUCCGCACAAGAGCGUGGCGCAUCGCGAGCCCUGUCAUUUGACGGGGCAAGGGGAUGGGAGAAGGAUCCAAGAAAAGCCUCUAGGGAUAAACCAAUGGUACCCGUACCGUAAACCGACACAGGUGGUUGAGUUGAGAAUACUAAGGUGUACGAGAGAAACAUCCUUAAGGAACUAGGCAAAACAGCGGCCGUAACUUCGGGAUAAGGCCUGCUUUCCAUCGGGAGAUGGGGAGCCGCAGCGAAAGACCCCAAGCGACUGUUUACCAAAAACACAGGUCCCUGCUAAACCGCAAGGUGAUGUAUAGGGGCUGAUGCCUGGCCAGUGUCCGAACGUUANNNNNNNNNNNNNNACGUUAAGGAAGUGGGUUAGCGCCUUCGGGUGCGAAGCUUGCGACUGAAGCGCGGAUGAACGCCGGCCGUAACUAUAACGGUCCUAAGGUCGGACGCUUCUUCAUUGGGAAGGAGUGGCCGAGGACUGGGACUGUUAUAGCUUCGAUAAUAUGCAAAAGCUGCCUCGUUCUGCGGUGACGCAGAAUCGGUCAAAACAUGGCUAUAUGCUGGAAACCCUUUUGCUAGGGCAAUCAGCAGGGAAGUCCUUAUAUUUACAAUGGACCCCCCAGAGACUAAACGCCGUGCCCCCGUCGUGUGACGGGGUGAAGAUAUAGUCCAAGGCAUAAGGAAGCCUAGAGCGAAAUUCCUUGUCGGGUAGGCUGGUCGGACCAAGCGAUGCUUGGAACCACUUGCCCGAAUGUCGUGGUAACAUGACACAGAAAACCGGCUCAUAACGGUGAAGCCCCAUGUGGGUAAUACCGUGGGAAGUCGUCCAGAGAGAAGGUGCGAAAGCAUUAGAAUCGAAGGAUUGACCCCGUAACGACUGACCCGAAAGGGAAGACUUCUGUGAAACAUCAGAGGUAACACGCCGGCUCUUCUUAUAAAAGCCAAUCUAUGGAAAUUGAUCCAUGGUAUAUCAGUGGAUUUGUUGAUGGCGAAGGCAGCUUUCUUGUUUCAUUCUCCAAACGUCAAAACAUGGCAAUGGGGGUUGAAGUGAGACCAAGCUUUACUGUCAGUCAACACGAACGAAACAAAGAAGUUGUUUGUCAACUCCAACGCUUCUUUCAUUGUGGGAGUGUGCGAUUCAACACAAGAGACCAAACAUAUAAGUUUGAAGUGCGCUCAUUGUCGGAUUUGACCAACCGUGUCAUUCCUCAUUUUGAAGCGUACCCACUUCUUACGUCAAAGCAGAAAGACUUCGAGUCACUGCGACACGUUUGUCAUCUUAUGGUGCACAAAGCACACCUCACGCAU